rnacentral:ncRNA from 1 species
GCAUCACAGGUCUGUGGCUGAAAGUCGAUGGCAGUCGCAGCCAAAACGAUCCACGUAACGCAGUCAAAAGGGCUGCUGAGCAUGGUGCGGUUUAGAAGUAAGUCCCUGCCGGGGAAAACCGAGAGAGUGAGUUGUGAGAAGGCAAGCGCCGGGUAGCUAAAGCUCCAGCAGGCGAGUGUGGGGGUCAAAAGCCAGGUCAGCUGUAGAUGC